rnacentral:rRNA from 1 species
CCCAGCAGAGCUUCCCCGGACGGGGGCCGUCUGCCUGCCGCGCCAUUCGUCGUCCCCGACGCAUUUGUCUCUCGUCCGAAGGACGCUGCAGCCGGUUCGGAAGUGCAAACGUGACGGCCUGAAGGUCGGGAAACGGCAGGUGGCCGGUGGCUCGCCACGUGCGGGUCGUCGGUUGUUAGCCUUCCCGUCAGUGGCCCGUCUCCGGACCGAGGUGUCGCGAGUCCCCUCCCGGGGACUCCACGUCUCCACCCCCGAGUCUGCGGGACGGCAGACGGCGAGAGUGGUUCAGCUCCACCGCCGCACGCGCGAUGCGUGGGCAGGGGAGACGACCGCUCCGAUGGCCGCGGCGAACCCGCGGGGGACAGGAGGCUGGCAGCGAGUAGGUCGGUCACCCACCCGACCCGUCUUGAAACACGGACCAAGGAGUCUAACAUGUGCGCGAGUCAAUGGGUCUUGAACAGGCCCAGGGGCGCAAUGAAAGCGAAGGACACGCCGAGCGCGGUCCGAGCGGGGAUCCCUGCCCCUCCGCGGGCGGGGCGCACCCGCGACCCGUCCUGUGCCGCUCGCGGCUUGGGCGGAGUCUGAGCGUACACGUUGGGACCCGAAAGAUGGUGAACUAUGCCCGGACAGAAUAAAGCCAGAGGAAACUCUGGUGGAGGUUC